CUUCCAUCAGUCUCCUAGAAACCUGGUAGUGCUCUCAAAUUCAGUUUACGCUUGCAAGCAGUUGACGACGGUUCCCCACACUCCCGUAAUUUUUGGUCUGUUGAAUCUGUUCUUCUCACCCACCUAUAAAUAUGUCGUCUCAUCUAUCCAAUUAAUCUGAAUUGCCAAAUCAAAAGGAAAAAUUAGGUGAAUGAAGAUGGUAGACAUGUCCCAACGAUUGAAGGAGUGAGCAGGGGUCGAUUUAAUUGGUCUAGGGCCAUACCCAUGAGUUCAAGAUGUUCUUCCAAUUGUUAUUACAAAAAUCACCCCUAAAUUCAAUGAUUGAGUUCGAUUGGUCAUGCUUAAGGUUUCAUUAGAAAUGUUUGGAACCUUGAGCAGAAGAAACCAAAAUGAUUUUCUCCAAAGCCAAGGAAAUUGUUUCCUCAAAUCCCCUUAUCAUAUCCAGGGUAACUACAAAACAAAAUGAGGUAGAGAUGAAGGCUUUCACACCGUGACUAAACUUCAGGGACUAUUUUGGCAGUUUACUCUUUUUAUUAUAAAGUUUCUUUCUGAUUACUUAGACUACGGGUUGUGGAGGGGAUUGGGUUGGGGGCAUUGCUGGCGAGUGUGGGAUCCACAAUAUAAUAUUCAAAACAAGGGGUGUGCCCGGUGUGGUCUAGCCAGCGUUGCUUGGCAACCGCCGCCCCAACCCACGGUCUUAGUUCUGACUUUUGUACUGAGUGUUCGGUUACAUGUAAAAUUAUGGCUCCCAAAUGCUCAUUUGUUAUGGAAUGCUUUGCAGCAACAGCAAGUACAGAUAUAAAUCCUAGUGGAGAAAUUAUGGUUUUGGAUAGAUUUUCUCAUGUGCAUCUCAUUGCUAUAAGGAUCAUAUUGCUUUGGCCACCCUCAUGUAUAAGAACUUCAUGCAGUUCCACAGUUUCAUGGAGGUUGAACAUCUUCCGGUUAUUUCACCCUCACAACAUCAAAAGGAGAGUGUUGCUUGCCUUGCUGAGAGGAUUGGGAAUCAGCUCAUGGAAACUACAAUGAUCAUGUCAAUACACAUAGCUUUAAUUGUCUAUAAGCAUGUCGUUGAAAUAUGGAAGCUUAUUGAUGAAACUUGGACAAAGGUGUUUGCUCAUCCGGAUGUUGUGUGUAUAUCAUUGUCGGUGAAGUCAUUUUUUUCUAAUAUGUGAAUUCAAAUGGCAAAUGCCUUGUGAUACUAGAGUGGAGAGAUUUCUUUUGUCUACCAUUUACUUUUGCAUGAAAAUGAUGGUGAUACUAUUCAUAUUUCAGUAGUUUACCAAUUUUAUUAUUCCUUUACCAGUUUUAA
rnacentral:lncRNA from 1 species